rnacentral:rRNA from 1 species
AACGAACGCUGGCGGCAUGCCUAACACAUGCAAGUCGAACGAGACCUUCGGGUCUAGUCGCGCACGGGUGAGUAACGCGUGGGAAUCUGCCCUUGGGUUCGGGAUAACAGUUGGAAACGACUGCUAAUACCGGAUGAUGUCUUCGGACCAAAGAUUUAUCGCCCAGGGAUUAGCCCGCGUCGGAUUAGCUCGUUGGUGAGGUCAAGGCUAACCAAGGCGACGAUCCGUAGCUGGUCUGAGAGGAUGAUCAGCCACACUGGUACUGAGACACGGCCCAGACUCCUACGGGAGGCAGCAGUGGUGAAUAUUGGACAAUGGGCGAAAGCCUGAUCCAGCAAUGCCGCGUGAGUGAUGAAGGCCUUAGGGUUGUAAAGCUCUUUUACCCGGGAUGAUAAUGACAGUACCGGGAGAAUAAGCCCCGGCUAACUCCGUGCCAGCAGCCGCUGUAAAAC